rnacentral:rRNA from 1 species
UAAUACAGAGGGUGCAAGCGUUAAUCGGAAUGACUGGGCGUAAAGGGUGCGUAGGUGGUUGUUUAAGUGAGAUGUGAAAUCCCUGGGCUUAACCUGGGAACUGCAUUUGAUACUGGACGACUAGAGUAUGGGAGAGGUAAGUGGAAUUUCCGGUGUAGCGGUGAAAUGCGUAGAUAUCGGAAGGAACACCAGUGGCGAAGGCGGCUUACUGGCCUAAUACUGACACUGAGGCACGAAAGCGUGGGGAGCAAACAGG